UUGAGAGGAACACAAAAAUAACAUUUAAAACAUUAAUGAAUCCUGGCAAGAUGUUUUAAUAUUUAACCAUGAAAGUGUUGCAAACAACAAAUACCCUGACAUGGGGUCAAACAAAAUAGCAAGACAGAUGCAGAUUGGUGAAACAGAAUAUCACAUUUUUUUUGCUCUUCAAGAUUUCUGGUAAAACUGAAUGUUAGGUGAUUUCAAGGUAGAUCACCAACCCACAUCUUGCAGUCUGGAAAUUCAGAAUUUUGGAAAAGCAAGUUCUUUGAAGUUUUUAAAUAUUUCAUAGGGUCUAUCAUUCAAUGAUAUACAGUAAUAUUUGUGCAGAUUUCAUUGAUGGUUAAUUUCCAGCAAACUCUAAAUAAAUGAUGCAAAUAUCAACAAAAUAAAUUUCAAUUGUGAACCUAACAAUAUGAAAUUUUUUUCCAGAACUACUAUAUCACCACAUACGUGGCAGUGAACAUAGUACAUGUUAUGCGAACGCUUAUUUCAAAAUAACUCAAAAUAGCAAAUAAUAAAGGAAAAAUAAUGAAAACUACACACUGUAAAGAGAAAAAUAAUUUAGACUAGUAACAAUGAUAGCAUUCAAAGAAAAUAAUGUAAAUUCCGGCUCAAUACAAUUAAACAUCCUCACUAAUCUAGAAAAAUGCAGUGCAAUGAUAAAAUAUAUCAAAUUGGUUUUGAUUGUUCUCUGUCUAUCUCUGCACCUGUAAUUCAUACCCAACUAAAAAAGAAGCCUGGAGUGAAAAUACUCCACCCAUUUUGUUCUCAAGUAAGAUAUCUUGAGUUUUUUCUUAAGAUUCUUUAAGAUUUUUUUUCCAGGAUUAUAAAAAAAAUCCUUUCAAACUGACAUACAUUUAAGGUUUAAUCAUAAUAACAUUCAAUCAAUUAAUACAAAGAAAAUAGAGUGAAAUGGGACCAUUUUAGCCUGCUUUCAUUGCCAUUAGCUGCAGUAUUAAGUUAAAAAAACUGACAUUUUGCAAACUUAGAUCAAAAGUUACUCAAAUCAAUUUUGUUUCUCUGCAUGAACUGCCAGUCUUCUUAACUACAAGUGCAUAGACUGGUAUUACCCAUAGAGUUAUAUGAACCUAACUCUGAGUUAUAUGAACCUAACUCUGUGGUAAUACCCCUCCAAUAUAUCGCUGAUUGAACAGCUUAAUAUCAUGCAAACCCAUAUAGCACUCCCCCAUAAACCUUUUAAAUCACACAAACACGAAUAUCUUUGUAUCAUAGAAAUGUAAACAUAUCAUUAACCCUACAUGGGCACUUCUUGAUCUAUCAUUUAUGCUGAUAAUAUUCAUUUCUACACCUAUGAAUGUUUUGAACAGAAAUAUGGUGCAAUAUCACUGCUGUGGAUCAUCAUCAUAAUACAUACCCUGGAAGAAUUCAAUCAUGCUACUUGGAGAACAUGUAUUUUAUCCUAUGAAUAAGAAAAUGAUAUCUGCAGUGGUUACAUAUUCAAUUCUAAAGGGGCUUCAUAAAAUGUAAUUAUCAUUGUAUAACAUUUUUUGAAAUUUCCAACAUAUGGGUUUUCGAAACUAUAGGUAAAGCUUUCUAAUGAUGUUGAAUCAAAUGAAUUUAAAUGAAUAUCUUAAUGCCAGUUUUCACUCAAAAUAUGACAUAUGGACAGUCUAUUGUCUUACAUGAAAUUACAUGUCGAUAUUCAAACAAACUAUUUCAGUGGUAUCAUAAGUUACAAUGAUGAUAAUUUGAAAUACAUUCUCGAUGUUUUAAACUAUAAUGCAGACUAUUUCUACUUCACUAGUUAGCUAGCUAGCUGCAGCUGGGCUCUGAAAGCAUUCAAUGAAAUACCUGCCUACUCCUGGGUGGAGUGGCGCAAACACAUUUAAAUGCCUUGGUAACAAGAGGCAAUGUACAGGAUGCCAUGGAAAUCUGUGUAUGCAACAAGUCUUGUCACCUAAUUUUUUGUCUAAUGUUUAUGUGCUGGUAGAAUGAUAAUUCUUCACCUAUCUAAAAUGCUUCCUGAGAAUGAUAUGCAUGCAAGAUUCAACCAUGUGGAGCAAGGUAGUUCUACGCAAUUAUGGUUAAUACUGAUAAAGUACAUAAUAUUCCUCUUCAAUAAUUAAACCUGUAAAGCCUUAAUGGUGGGAAGGGGUCAAAUUUACCUGCCUUUGACAAAUUUUGUAACUAUGCCGCUGUGUGGAUUUUUUUCCCAUGUUGCUUGCAGACUCUUUACUUUCAAGUUUGCACAUUUUUUAGGCCAAAUUUGUGACGUCCAGAUACACUGUUCCAAAAUUAUGCAACAUUUUAAGGGCAUGUCAGACAUCAAAUAGCUCAUAGCUCAAAAAUGUGAUUUCAUGUACAAAGUCAACCCAAAAUCAGAAAUGUAUGAUAAUUUUUUUUACUUUUGCUGGUUUAAAUUGGUAUAUUUUAUAUUUACGAUCACCGAACAGGUUGAAAAAAAAGAAACAGAUGCAUAAGAAUUCACAAAACAAUAAAUUACAUAGGAAAUCAAAAGGCUUUCUGAAAAAAUUUUCCUUCUUAAGUAACAUCACACAAUUACCCAAUUUGAGGAUCUAACAAUUAAAGCAAGUUCUGGGAACAAUCACAAAAUUAUUUCUAGGAAAUGACCUUUAAGUGCAAGGUAUAAAAUAAAUACCAUGUGUUUAAUGAUGGGUACAUCUAUUUGCAAGCUAUCAUUUAUGAAAAUGCCCAUGACUGUAUAUCUGUGAUUGUCAGUAUACUCUGAUUACAAUUAGUUUACUUCUUUAAGUUUGCUUAAAUCGGUAAUUUUACUAGCUUUUUUCUCAAGUCCAAUUCCUUUGACUUGAGGCUUAUUUUGUUGCAGUUCAUAUACGAUACUUAUACCAAGUUGGUAUCUGGUCUUAUGGGUAGGAUGCGCGAUAAAAUACAUGAAAGGAUAUUAACAGAAAAGAUCCACAACAAACAAAA